UCAAAUAGAACUUAAAUGAAAGAGAUAUAUUCCUGUGAAACUUUUUGAAGUGAGCUGAACUAUAUGUUCUAAUGGAAGACUUCCAUAGGAAAUUUCUCAACAAGGACUAAUAGAGCAGGGGAAAGGCUGAAACAAUUCCACUUAGAAGAAGGUUACAAACAGGCUGAGUAUUGCAGCUGGCUGGAAGAAGUUUGUGCUCUGCAGGGCUAAGGUGAAUACAAGUUCACACAGAACAGACAGCACAAUGCUGAUAGCUGACAUUUCUGCUCCAGUCCUUCUCUAAAACCAGUUGUCUAGGC
rnacentral:lncRNA from 1 species